rnacentral:rRNA from 1 species
CACUCCUACGGGAGGCAGCAGUGGGGAAUAUUGGACAAUGGGCGCAAGCCUGAUCCAGCCAUGCCGCGUGAGUGAUGAAGGCCCUAGGGUUGUAAAGCUCUUUCACCGGUGAAGAUAAUGACGGUAACCGGAGAAGAAGCCCCGGCUAACUUCGUGCCAGCAGCCGCGGUAAUACGAAGGGGGCUAGCGUUGUUCGGAUUUACUGGGCGUAAAGCGCACGUAGGCGGACUAUUAAGUCAGGGGUGAAAUCCCGGGGCUCAACCCCGGAACUGCCUUUGAUACUGGUAGUCUUGAGUUCGAGAGAGGUGAGUGGAAUUCCGAGUGUAGAGGUGAAAUUCGUAGAUAUUCGGAGGAACACCAGUGGCGAAGGCGGCUCACUGGCUCGAUACUGACGCUGAGGUGCGAAAGCGUGGGGAGCAAACAGGAUUAGAUACCCGAGUAGUCCC